rnacentral:lncRNA from 1 species
UUUCAUUAUCUUCUAUUCCAAAAUCUUCUUGUAAUUGUUCAUAAUCUAUCUCUACAUUAUCAUUAGGAGAUGAUUCAGAAACAUGUGUUAUUGGGUCAUUACUAUUACUACCGGAAGCUACAGGACUACCUCUUUUUUUUAUUUCCGACCAGUAACUUUUCUACACGCUCUUUUAGCAGCACUAAACAUAUUGUAAAAAUUAAAGUAUAAGCGAAAAUUAAAUAUGCAAUUAAAAUAUUAAAUAAGAGAAAAAGUUUGAGGGAGUGCACCGAAUUCGACAAU